AUUCAUCAAAGCAACUCAUUAAAUUUUCGUGUUAAAAGAAGUUGCAGAGAAUAAGGAAGUCAUAUAUCACUGGAGAAAAAUUAGGAUUCUCCAAGCUGUGCAUACUUUUUGUUUUGAAAAGUGUUUGUGACUAACAAUAAAUGAACUCCGUUCUUAGUAAGUUAAUUUUAAAACAUAGAUGAUCAUUCUAUCUCCUUAGUUUUGGUUGCCAAUGCAAAUGAGUCAGAGGAUUUGCUUCAGACACUGAGAUAAUUGUGUAACUCUACAGCGGAAAAUGCCAUUGGAGAGUACUUGCUGCAAAUUUUUGACCAGCCAGCCCAGCACAGGUGUUUAUAGUUGGCUGGAUCAAUAUAAUCUUUUUAGAAACCAUUUAGGAAGGAAAGAUAGUUGGAUUAGAAGGGAUACAUC
rnacentral:lncRNA from 1 species